AAACUAGUUCUUUUACCAGGUAUGUUCAGAGCUUUUUAUAUGAUUUUCCAGUCAUUUACUGGCGGAAAGACAGCUGGUCUAUUCUGUUUAAUUCAUAGCAGGAGAGAGAAGGCUGUUUAUCAAUAAAACCCAAAUCAGGAUAGAAGGCAAAACUGAAAAAACAAAAGAGAAAAUAAGCAAAAACAAAGAAGAAAGGAAAUGAGAAG
rnacentral:lncRNA from 1 species